UUCUGGAGGAAAUGCUACAGACAGUUCAGUUCUAUUGAGGAUAACACUUCUUUGAUAUGCUACCAUUUAGAGUGUCACAGUUCGAGACUUCUUGAAAGAAGAUAGCAUUUUGCUCAUUCUGGAGAUCUGGACCCAUUAGUAAAUUGAAGACCUUAGAAGCUGUUCCACUCUUGUCAACAUCUGGAUGUUUGCAAUUUCACCUGAACAACUUAAGGAAGUUAAUAAAACUGAAUCCAGGAAAGUUCGGAUUGCCCAUGGAAGAGAGAAUGGAUCUUGAUCUAUGUUCCCUAGAUGGAUUUCACAACUAAGU